rnacentral:misc_RNA from 1 species
AAGAAUUCCCAGUACAAUGAAAAUAAGGCAUGAUGCUCCAACAACUCUGACAACGAUAUGAACAGUUCCCUUCUUUUGAACACUCGAACAAAGUUUCAGAUCAGAAGCCACAGAGAUGGCUGAUAUUAUGGCGCCAUAAACCCCUCUAUCAGGAAUUCUUGUUGUUCCUUUGCCAGCAAAAUAAAAUCGGAUCUCCAAGAUAUUAUUGGUCA